CCCAACUAAAUAGAAAUUAUAUUUUAACAUUCAUACAUUUUCAAAAUUAUUAAACUAAAAUAAUCCAGAAUCAACUUUUCCUUUUGAACUUCUAUUAAAAUUUCACUGCAAUUUAAAAAAAAUUAAAAAUUAAAAAUCCAUCCCAAAACCGAUUGCUCAAUACUGAGCCGCAAAAGUCAACGCCCGAACAACCAACAUUUCAAUUUCAAAUCCAAACUUAAAUCCACCAACAGACACUACGCAAAACAAAUCUACUUGAAAUGAACAGCAAGUCUAAAUCGAAAUCGAAAUCGAAAUGAAAACCUUUAUGAAAGAGAAGUAAGAAGGCUUCGUUGUAUAAAGAGAAUAGCGCGAUCGAAGACAGUGUCUUCACGAUCGUCGUACGUAAAGCAUACGGAGAUCUGAGACUGUGUCCUAACGAUCGAGGGCUGUGUCAAGACUGUCUUCACGAUCGUCGUAUGCGAAGCAUACGGAGAUCGGAGACUGUGUCUUAACGAUCGAGGACAAACUGUCUUCACGAUCGUCCUAUGUUAAGCAUACGGAGAUCGGAGACUGUGUCUUAACGAUCGAGGG
rnacentral:lncRNA from 1 species